GAUGGACUCCCAAGGCAUGGCUGCAAUGGUUGUUUGGAACAAGAAACAGAUACCCUCUUGCUGUCAUUCAUCUCUGAUUGGGAAUCUGAGCUUGAAGGAAGCUGUAUAUUUGUGGUCACCUGAUGGCAAUGAAUGCAAAGACCCUGUGCAGCAGCAGUGCCUCUCACAGGGAAUACCAGGAGGGAAACUGGAAGUAAUCAAAGCACGCAGAAUUUGCUCUUCUUGGUGGAGGUCUCAUGCAGGCAGCACUUGAAUGACACUUUAUGUUUCUGGAUAAGGUGAAGGUAAGAGAUAGAAACUAUUUGAAAGCCAUAGCUUAUGUUCCCUGGAGUGGGUGGAAAGAACAGCUCUUCUGAGACAACAGCUUUACAGUGAACAUGAGCAGAGCAGUGUCAUCAGCAAUUGUGAAAACGUGUUUACAAUGGUUGGGGAAAUAUUUAGUCAGCAUUUAAAUAUGUUAGUGCAGACACAAAUUUUAGAUGUCUACAGCACUUAACAGUUCCAGUAACUAACUGGUUUUAUUAAGAUUUUUAGUGAUACAAAUUAAUAACAAAAGUCAGUUAAUACAGAGUGCAGUUAUGAGACCAAAAUAAUGCAGUUUAAAUUUAAAGAGUUAAAUGUUAACAUUUCCCUAUAGAGCAAGGUUAUUUGGGCAGUGGUAUACUGACAUUAUCACCACCCACACACAGAGAAGGGGACCUGUUGAUCAUGUUGGUUAAGCAGAAAUUCAAAAAAGGAAAACUGUAGGUCUAGAGGGUUUGCUUGGUGUAAGUGAAUCACACAGGAAAAAUGCUGAUACCCAGGGUUGUUGUAGUGACUUUCUUUGAUGGUUAGAAAGAGAAAUAAGCACAGGAUAUUUUUGUCAAGUUAGAGGAUUUAGAUUGCUGCUUGCUAGGUAAAAUUUGUCUUAGUUAUUAAUAUAGUGGAAAGUUAAAUGAUGAUCAUGGAAUUAUGAUAGUAAGUGCUGUUGGAAAAUGAAGAGAAAUUAUUUUCUGUGUCCAUUUAAAAUAUUCCAAUGUGUUAACAGUUGGGCUGAAGGGCUGCUAAGAAAAUGAAUGUGGAAAAUUAAGGAAAGCUUCUGUCAAGAAGGUGUUCCUGGACACCUUGCUGCUGUGCUGUUUCUGGCAAAUCACAUCUGAUAAGAUACAGGUAAACAACCAGCUUUCAUUUAGCAGAAAAUAGUGCUGUCUGUAUGUUUGGAUUUCUGUUUGAGAAAGCCUUAUAAUAAUCGUAAUGGACCUAGCUAGAAAAAA
rnacentral:lncRNA from 1 species